GGGGGGGGAUGGGGGAUUCGAAGGCCCGGGGGAGGAAGAAGGGGAUCUAAAAAGGGGGUUUGAUUUGGAAAAGAGUGGGAUUUAGGAAGAAGCAGAUGGGCUUGUCACCUUGGUCUUUCGCAUGUUUCCAUUUCCAGGAAGAAGCAGAGAGGGACUGACUGAGAGGAGAGCUCUCGGAGAAGAAGAGAGAAGGAUCGAGAUUCAAGAAGACUGAAAGGAGAAGAGAGAGGGAUUGACUGAGAGCUCUCGGUGUGCGUGUGUGGUGUGGGUUCUCU
rnacentral:lncRNA from 1 species